GAUGAACGCUGGCGGCGUGCCUAAUACAUGCAAGUAGAACGCUGAAGGAGGAGCUUGCUCUUCUGGAUGAGUUGCGAACGGGUGAGUAACGCGUAGGUAACCUGCCUGGUAGCGGGGGAUAACUAUUGGAAACGAUAGCUAAUACCGCAUGACAACAGUUAUUGCAUGAUAACUGUUUAAAAGGGGCAACUGCUCCACUGCCAGAUGGACCUGCGUUGUAUUAGCUAGUUGGUGAGGUAACGGCUCACCAAGGCGACGAUACAUAGCCGACCUGAGAGGGUGAUCGGCCACACUGGGACUGAGACACGGCCCAGACUCCUACGGGAGGCAGCAGUAGGGAAUCUUCGGCAAUGGACGGAAGUCUGACCGAGCAACGCCGCGUGAGUGAAGAAGGUUUUCGGAUCGUAAAGCUCUGUUGUAAGAGAAGAACGAGUGUGAGAGUGGAAAGUUCACACUGUGACGGUAUCUUACCAGAAAGGGACGGCUAACUACGUG
rnacentral:rRNA from 1 species